rnacentral:tRNA from 1 species
GUCAGGAUGGCCGAGUGGUCUAAGGCGCCAGACUCAAGCUUGACUUCCCACAACGGGGUUUCUGGUCUCCAUAUGGAGGCGUGGGUUCGAAUCCCACUUCUGACA